CAGAAAGGUGACUUCUACUUACUUUGUAGUACCAUAAGUAAGGCAAAUCAAAGUAGAUUGGAAAAAUAAAUGAUAUAGUAAUCUUAAGAAGAAAAUUAAGAGUAAAUUCUAGAAAAAAUUUACUUAGAAAAACUAGAUAUUGAUACCCGGAGAGGGCCGGUUAUGAACCAGGGUCGAAAUCAGACCCUGAGGCACAAAACCGAG
rnacentral:lncRNA from 1 species